UAGCGAAGGGGGCUAGCGUUGUUCGGAAUUACUGGGCGUAAAGCGCGCGCUAGGCGGUUUUUCAAGUCAGUGGUGAAAGCCCGGAGCUCCAACUCCCGGAACUGCCAUUGAAACUGUGAAACUUGAGGAUGAGAGAGGUGAGUGGAAUUCCCAGUGUAGAGGUGAAAUUCGUAGAUAGUUGGGAAGAACACCGGUGGCGAAGGCGGCUCACUGGCUCAUUUCUGACGCUCAGGCGCGACAGCGUGGGGAUCAAACAGG
rnacentral:rRNA from 1 species